rnacentral:tRNA from 1 species
GGGCCGGUCGUCUAGUUUGGUAGGAUAGUCCCUUGGCAUGGGACAGGUCGGGGGUCCGAGUCCCCCCCGGUCCA